GUUCCUGUCGCGCAAUGGAUAGCGUGUAGAACUUCUAAUCCAAAGGUCGUGGGUUCGAAUUCCACCUGGGAUG
rnacentral:tRNA from 1 species